rnacentral:rRNA from 1 species
UACGUAGGGGGCAAGCGUUGUCCGGAAUCAUUGGGCGUAAAGAGCGCGUAGGCGGUCCGGUAAGUCGGUUGUGAAAGUCGGGGGCUCAACCCUCGGAGGCCGACCGAUACUGUCGGGCUAGAGUCCGGAAGAGGCGAGUGGAAUUCCUGGUGUAGCGGUGAAAUGCGCAGAUAUCAGGAGGAACACCAGUGGCGAAGGCGACUACCUGGCCUGUUCUUGACGCUGAGGCGCGAAAGCUAGGGGAGCAAACGGG